rnacentral:rRNA from 1 species
GACGAACGCUGGCGGCGUGCCUAAUACAUGCAAGUCGAGCGCAGGAAACUGACGGAACUCUUCGGAGGGAAGGCAGUGGAAUGAGCGGCGGACGGGUGAGUAACACGUAAGGAACCUGCCUCAAGGAUUGGGAUAACUCCGAGAAAUCGGAGCUAAUACCGGAAAGUUCAACGGACCGCAUGGUCCGCUGAUGAAAGGCGCUCCGGCGUCACCUUGAGAUGGCCUUGCGGUGCAUUAGCUAGUUGGUGGGGUAACGGCCCACCAAGGCGACGAUGCAUAGCCGACCUGAGAGGGUGAUCGGCCACACUGGGACUGAGACACGGCCCAGACUCCUACGGGAGGCAGCAGUAGGGAAUCUUCCACAAUGGACGAAAGUCUGAUGGAGCAACGCCGCGUGAGUGAUGAAGGUUUUCGGAUCGUAAAACUCUGUUGUAAGGGAAGAACACGUACGAGAGGGAAUGCUCGUACCUUGACGGUACCUUACGAGAAAGCCACGGCUAACUACGUGCCAGCAGCCGCAGUAACAC